CCAAAGCUUCAACAAGUAAAAGCUGUGAAAGAUGCUUAAAUGUUGAUAUAAAUGCUUGUGUUACUAACCUUGUUGAGCUAGCAAAGAAGGACAAGGAGAUCCAAAGAUUAAACACAAUUGUCAAGAUUGGUUGCAAGUGCAAGGACAAGCAACCGACAAAUGUGUUCAAGGCAUCAAGGCACCCCAUAAUCAAGGAUGGCCUCGGUUACAAUAGGU
rnacentral:lncRNA from 1 species